rnacentral:rRNA from 1 species
UACGAAGGGGGCUAGCGUUACUCGGAUUGACUGGGCGUAAAGGGCGCGUAGGCGGUUUGUACAGUCAGACGUGAAAUUCCUGGGCUCAACCUGGGGGCUGCGUUUGAUACGUGCGGACUUGAGUUCGGAAGAGGGUCGUGGAAUUCCCAGUGUAGAGGUGAAAUUCGUAGAUAUUGGGAAGAACACCGGUGGCGAAGGCGGCGACCUGGUCCGAUACUGACGCUGAGGCGCGAAAGCCAGGGAAGCAAACGGG